AGUGUGAGACGUGUAGCUAGGGCUGUGCACUCCACAGAGCUGGUGGGAGCUGGGAAUAGGUGAAAACCCUGCCUCCUUGUGAGUUGGCAGGACGGGAGCCUCCUGUUCCCUGGCUGCUGUUGUGGCCACCGAGCCGCAGCCCUGGAGCCAGGCAUCCCUGUGCUUGGGGAUCAGAGCGAGCAGGAGCAGAUCCUCUCCCUUCUGGGUGCAGCUGCAGCUGCCCAGCCAUGGCUGUGGUCCCGGAAGUCUCUGUGCUCUUGGGAGCUGGGAGGGCCCUCUGCCUCCUGCCCCUUACGCACUCCAGAGUCUCCUCUCUGUUGAGAGCUAAGCAGACAUCAGGACUACCAGCUGCAGAGAGGAGCUACCCACUGUGGGCUUCGUCUCUGCUGAGAGCUGAACACUCACUGGGACGCCCUGCCUAUGGAAACCAGCUGUUCACUCUGGGUCUCCUCUGAGCUGUUCUGUCGCUCAGUAAAGGUCUUCUUCUGCUUACUCGCCCUCCAUUUGUCUGCCUUACCUCAUUCAUCCUGGACACAGGACAAGAACUUGGGACUUGCCGGUAUGGUGGAGCUAAAAUAGCUGUAACACAAACAGGAUUGAAACAUGCCCCUUGCUCGCCACAUUGUGGAUGACAAGAGGGAGGGAAGAAAGGAGAGAAGAUCUGCGACCCUUCGGCAAACCCAGACUUAGGAGAUCGGAGAGCCAAGACUGUGACACCCUUUCUGGGGCUCUGUGGUUCCUGGCGUCUCCAAGCUUCUGGGCACCUCGGCUUUCCCCGGUGCCAGUCGUGGAAGCUGCUUGUGAGUCUUGCUUUGUCACCCAGGCUGGAGUACAGUGGCGUGAUCACAGCUUACUGAAACGUCUGCGUCUCAGGUUCAAGCGAUUUUUCUGCCUCAGCCUCUGGUGUAGCUGGAAUUACAGUGUUAGCAGUCACUGAUGCUCAAACAAACUGCCAAACUGUUCACCAAAGGGCCUGCACCAUUUUAUAUUCCCACCAACAGCAUGGCAAAGUUGUGAUUUCCCCGUAAUCUUGCCAGAACUCGUUUUCAUCUGACUUUGUAAAUCUAGCCAUUUAAGUGGAUGUGAAGUGAUAAUUCACUGUAGCUUUGAUUUACAUUAUAAUGAUAAAUGCAGAUGUUGCAUUUUCAUGUACUCAAUGGUCAUUUGUAUAUCUUCUUUGGAAAACUGUCAGUUAAGAUCCUUUGCC
rnacentral:lncRNA from 10 species